UCCUUUUCACAUUCACACCCAAAAUCAAUUGCUUUUUUUAUUCUUCAAUCACUUCUUUUCUUUCUCUUCUCACCUUAUUUUAAUCUCAACCCUAGUUAGUACAAACCCAUUCCCGAUCCCACAUGUUUGUGUUAAAUUCAGGCCAAUUUUGGGGCAAUUUGAAGAAAUGAGGAUAAAAGGCAAUUGAGAAAUGCAGAGUCCAUUUUUAAAAAGUCCUUCAAACCCCACCUUCCUCCUAUCCAUUCCGAACCACUUCAUUUAUUAGAGAGAACUGGCUGAUCCUCGCACCUAAUUACAUCCGUCACUCACAAAUAUCCCACUUCCACCACACCCCAUUUCAAGAUUCCAAAUUUAUUUUAAUUUUCACACAAAAACUUCAAUUCUGACUAAAAAGGUGUGGAGAUGCGUGCGAUUGUUGGUGGGGUGUUUUUAAUUUUGGCCUUGCUGUUGAGUUUCGGAUUUUGCCACUUGCAGGAGAUGAUGGUGCCGGCGGCGGUGGAGGCGGAGACGAUCAUCGGCCGGAGGAGGCUGGGGAGCUUCCAGAUAUGCGCUCUCUGCACUUGCUGCGGCGGCGGAAGCAGAAACUACUGUGUGUCGACGCCGUGUUGCUAUGCAAUCAAUUGCAAUAUCCCAAACAGACCCUUUGGCUUUUGCUCUUUCACUCCCAAGACUUGCAAUUGCUUUGGAUGCCAUCUCUAAUCUUCUUGUAAUUAUUCGUGGUAAGUAUCAUAAAUUUGUCAUUGUUAUUACAAUUAUACUAUUAUUUGCAGUUUAUGAAUAGUGGUAAGUAAUAAUGUAAGGUGAAAAGAGUGGACAAAAAUUAUAGUACAAACGGGAUUGGUCCAACCAUUCAUUCCCACCA